UCCGCCCUACGGGGGGCAGCAGUGGGGAAUAUUGCACAAUGGGGGAAACCCUGAUGCAGCAACGCCGCGUGAAGGAAGACGGUUUUCGGAUUGUAAACUUCUAUCAAUAGGGAAGAAAGAAAUGACGGUACCUAAAUAAGAAGCCCCGGCUAACUACGUGCCAGCAGCCGCGGUAAUACGUAGGGGGCAAGCGUUAUCCGGAAUUACUGGGUGUAAAGGGAGAGUAGGCGGCAAGGUAAGCGAUAUGUGAGAGCCUUAAGCUUAACUUAAGGAUUGCAUAACGAACUAUCUAGCUAGA
rnacentral:rRNA from 1 species